GGGUUGUGGGAAUUUUGAUGUGUCGUCUCCGGACGGGCGGUGCAGGGUAGUCAAGUUAGACUUGGUGGAAUUCCGUCGAUAGGAGUUCCGUCGAGUCUGGUCGGCUGUGUGUUGGACGGUGUAGGGUAGGCUGCUUGGACAUGGUCGGUUCGAGGAUCGAUUCGAGGGCCGGCCUGUCGAUGAUGUGUGAUGUAUGCGGUCUAGGGUAGGUUGGUUUGUCUUGGUUCGAUUUGUUGUCGGCUCCUGUGCAGGCCAGAGUGAGGGGGGUCCAGGGUAGGUACAGGGUAGGCAGCUUAGAUUUGGUCGAUCUGGAGGUCGAUUCUCCGGCUGGCGGAUCUGACACUGUCGAAACGAGAUGCGAGCGGUGUAGGGUAGGCUAGUUUCGUACUUGCCAGGUUGCGAUUUGGACGAGAUAUGUGGUUUAGGGUAGGCUCUAGGGUAAGUAGAAUUCGAGUUUCGUCGCCGAUAGUUUUCUGUGGGUGUAUGGUAGGUACAGGGUAGGCAAAUCUCUCUCCGGCCAGUACUUGUCUCGUGGUCGUGAGUCGAUUUUUUUGUUUUGCCAUACUAUUG
rnacentral:misc_RNA from 1 species